UACGAAGGGGGCUAGCGUUGCUCGGAAUUACUGGGCGUAAAGCGCACGUAGGCGGAUUGUUAAGUCAGGGGUGAAAUCCCAGAGCUCAACUCUGGAACUGCCUUUGAUACUGGGUGUCUUGAGUAUGGAAGAGGUGAGUGGAAUUCCGAGUGUAGAGGUGAAAUUCGUAGAUAUUCGGAGGAACACCAGUGGCGAAGGCGGCUCACUGGUCCAUUACUGACGCUGAGGUGCGAAAGCGUGGGGAGCAAACAGG
rnacentral:rRNA from 1 species